GCCUGAGUGGCGGAAUUGGUAGACGCAGCGGAUUCAAAAUCCGCCGGUGGUGACACCGUAAGAGUUCGAGUCUCUUCUUAGGCACCA
rnacentral:tRNA from 1 species